rnacentral:rRNA from 1 species
CCUACGGGAGGCAGCAGUAGGGAAUAUUGGUAAUCUGGGAAACCGGGAACCAGCAACGCCGCGUGCACGAUGAAGGCCUUCGGGUCGUAAAGUGCUUUUUGAAGGGAUGAGGAAGGACAGUACCUUCAGAAUAAGCCUCGGCUAACUACGUGCCAGCAGCCGCGGUAAAACGUAGGAGGCGAGCGUUAUCCGGAUUUACUGGGCGUAAAGCGUGUGUAGGCGGUUUGAUAAGUUGGAUGUGAAAGCUCCCGGCUCAACUGGGAGAGGUCGUUCAAAACUAUCAGACUCGAGAGUGGUAGAGGGAGGUGGAAUUCCGCGUGUAGUGGUGAAAUGCGUAGAUAUGCGGAGGAACACCAGUGGCGAAAGCGGCCUCCUGGCCCAUUUCUGACGCUCAGACACGAAAGCUAGGGUAGCAAACGGGAUUAGAUACCCUGGUAGUC